UACGUAGGGUGCAAGCGUUAAUCGGAAUUACUGGGCGUAAAACGUGCGCAGGCGGUUAUAUAAGACAGAUGUGAAAUCCCCGGGCUCAACCUGGGAACUGCAUUUGUGACUGUAUAGCUAGAGUACGGUAGAGGGGGAUGGAAUUCCGCGUGUAGCAGUGAAAUGCGUAGAUAUGCGGAGGAACACCGAUGGCGAAGGCAAUCCCCUGGACCUGUACUGACGCUCAUGCACGAAAGCGUGGGGAGCAAACAGG
rnacentral:rRNA from 1 species